rnacentral:sRNA from 1 species
UGGCCCUUCAGAUGGGGUUAAGCAGAACC